GACGAACGCUGGCGGCGUGCUUAACACAUGCAAGUCGAACGCUGAAGCUUGGUGCUUGCACUGGGUGGAUGAGUGGCGAACGGGUGAGUAAUACGUGAGUAACCUGCCCUUGACUCUGGGAUAAGCCUGGGAAACUGGGUCUAAUACUGGAUACGACAUGUCACCGCAUGGUGGUGUGUGGAAAGGGUUUUACUGGUUUUGGAUGGGCUCACGGCCUAUCAGCUUGUUGGUGGGGUAAUGGCUCACCAAGGCGACGACGGGUAGCCGGCCUGAGAGGGUGACCGGCCACACUGGGACUGAGACACGGCCCAGACUCCUACGGGAGGCAGCAGUGGGGAAUAUUGCACAAUGGGCGGAAGCCUGAUGCAGCGACGCCGCGUGAGGGAUGACGGCCUUCGGGUUGUAAACCUCUUUCAGCAAGGAAGAAGCGAAAGUGACGGUACGUGCAGAAGAAGCGCCGGCUAACUACGUG
rnacentral:rRNA from 1 species